GCGGCCCCAACCACCUUGGUAGAGCAUGAGACUCUUGAUCUCAAAAGUCGUGGGUUCAAACCUCAUGUUGGGCA